GGAUGCGAUCAUACCAGCACUAAAGCACCGGAUCCCAUCAGAACUCCGAAGUUAAGCGUGCUUGGGUGAGAGUAGUACUAGGAUGGGUGACCUCCUGUAAAAUCCUCCUGUUGCAUUCC
rnacentral:rRNA from 1 species